rnacentral:rRNA from 1 species
ACCAAGGCGAUGAUGCAUAGCCCGAGUUGAGAGACUGAUCGGCCACAUUGGGGACUGAGACACGGGCCCAAACUCCUACGGGAGGCAGCAGUAGGGAAUCUUCCACAAUGGACGCAAGUCUGAUGGAGCAAACGCCGCGUGAGUGAAGAAAGUUUUCGGAUCGUAAAAAGCUCUGUUGUUGGUGAAGAAGGAUAGAGGUAGUAACUGGCCCUUUAUUUGACGGUAAUCAACCCAGAAAGUCACGGGCUAACUACGUGCCCAGCAGCCGCGGUAAAU